GGAGUCUGCAGGAUGGCACCGGACCCCUGGUUCUCCACAUACGAUUCUACUUGUCAAAUUGCCCAAGAAAUUGCUGAGAAAAUUCAACAACGAAAUCAGUAUGAAAGAAAAGGUGAAAAGGCACCAAAGCUUACCGUGACAAUCAGAGCUUUGUUGCAGAACCUGAAGGAAAAGAUCGCCCUUUUGAAGGACUUAUUGCUAAGAGCUGUGUCAACACAUCAGAUUGUUUCUUUGAGAUAGGAACUAUAAUUGUCUUACCAGCUGAGAAGAGGGUUAUGCUGUGGGAGGCUGCAUAUGAAAUUCCAGAUAGUACUAAAGAUACUUAGUACCAUCUUCUUAGAGUUGGCUUCACAUGAAACAUAUCCUUUUGUUGGCAUUUCACAGGAGGCAGCACCUUUACUUAUUUUAAAGAGAAUAAAGAAAAUCUCUUUACAGAGGGGUUUGAUGUCAAAAAGUACUUUGGUGUCUUGGGAGAAGGCCUUUGGAAAUAAGUUUUAAAAAUCUAUAAAUAAAUUUUCUCAUCCCAGGCACUUUGGGAGGCCGAGGCGUGCGGAUCACGAGGUCAGGAGAUCGAGACCAUCCUGGCUAACAUGGUGAAACCCCAUCUCUACUAAAAAUACAAAAAAAAUUAGCCGGGCGUGGUAGCAGG
rnacentral:sRNA from 1 species